rnacentral:rRNA from 1 species
GACGAACGCUGGCGGCGUGCCUAAUACAUGCAAGUCGAACGCAGUGGGGACGGGUGAGUAACACGUGGGUAACCUCCCAUCAGAGGGGAUAACACUUGGAAACAGGUGCUAAACCGAUACUGAUGGAUGGACCCGCGGUGCAUUAGCUAGUUGGUGAGGUAACGGCUCACCAAGGCCACGAUGAAUAGGCGAACUGGGAGGGGGAUCGGCAAAACUUGGAAUGAGAAACGGCCCAGAAGCCUACGGGAGGCAGCAGUAGGGAAUCUUCGGCAAUGGACGAAAGGCGGACCGAGCAACGCCGCGUGAGUGAAGAAGGUUUUCGGAUCGUAAAACGCUGUUGGUAGAGAAGCGGUAUCUAACCAGAAAGCCACGGCUAACUCCGUGCCAGCAGCCGCGGUAAUAC